AUUCAUCUGUAGUUCAUGAGUGUGAUGAUUGGGUGUUCACGCGCAUGCGUGAGAUGUGCCACCCUCAAAUCUUGUUACAAUGGUCGGCACAUUACCCAUCUGAUG
ensembl:snoRNA